CUUGAACUAUUAAAAGUCCCCAGGGACUGGCAUUGAAGCACUUACUUUUUCGUAUUCUGACAGCCUUCAGAACAAUGUGUGGGUUUAAUUCCCCUGUGUCUGCAAGGCAAACACACUGCACAAAAACACAGAACAAAAACAAAAGAACUUGCAAACAUGCAAAUAACUGCACCUAUCAGGUACAUCUGACUGAUGUUCCUUCAGUGAAG